rnacentral:rRNA from 1 species
UGAGUACGAGAUGCUACGGCAUCGAAGCAGUCUAUGUCAUACUUCCAAGAAAAGCUUGCACUGUCAUAAACAAAGAAUGCCUGUACCAUAACCGACACAGGUGGGUAGGUAGAGUAUACUAAGGGGCGCGAGAUAACUCUCUCUAAGGAACUCGGCAAAAUGACUCCGUAACUUCGGGAGAAGGAGUGCCUUAUUUCUAAGGUUGCAAUAACAAGAUCCAAGCAACUGUUUACCAAAAACACAGGUCUCCGCUAAGUCGUAAGACGAUGUAUGGGGGCUGACGCCUGCCCAGUGCCAGAAGGUUAAAGAAGUUGGUUAGCAUUAGCGAAGCUGAUAACUGAAGCCCUGGUGAACGGCGGCCGUAACAAUAACGGUCCUAAGGUAGCGAAAUUCCUUGUCGGGUAAGUUCCGACCCGCACGAAAGGCGUAAUGAUUUGGAUACUGUCUCGGAGAGGGGCUCGGUGAAAUAGACUUGUCUGUGAAGAUGCGGACUACCUGCACCUGGACAGAAAGACCCUAUGAAGCUUUACUGUAACUUGAGAUUGAAAUUGGACUUUAUUUGCGCAGUAUAGGUGGGAGGCGUUGAGAAUAAUCUUGCGGGAUUGUUGGAGCCAUCAGUGAGAUACCACUCUUGUAAUGUUAGAUUUCUAACUUUGUAUCAUUAUCUGGUCAAAGAACAGUUUCAGGCGGGCAGUUUGACUGGGGCGGUCGCCUCCCAAAGGGUAACGGAGGCGCACAAAGGUUUCCUCUGAACGGGUAGAAAUCGUAUCUAGAGUGUAAAGGCAUAAGGAAGCUUGACUAUGAGACCUACAAGUCGAGCAGGGACGAAAGUCGGUCUUAGUGAUCUGACGGUGCUGAGUGGAAAGGCCGUCACUCAACGGAUAAAAGUUACUCUAAGGAUAACAGGCUGAUCUCCCCCAAGAGUUCACAUCGACGGGGAGGUUUGGCACCUCGAUGUCGGCUCAUCGCAUCCUGGGGCGGUAGUCCGUCCCAAGGGUUGGGCUGUUCGCCCAUGAAAGCGGUACGCGAGCUGGGUUCAGAACGUCGUGAGACAGUUCGGUCCAUAUCCGGUGUAGGCGUUAGAAUAUUGAGAGGAGCCUUCUCUAGUACGAGAGGACCGAGAAGGACAUACCUCUGGUGUACCAGUUAUCGUGCCAACGGUAAACGCUGGGUAGCUAUGUAUGGAGUGGAUAACCGCUGAAAGCAUCUAAGUGGGAAGCCCACCUCAAGAUAAG